GGGAACACCGAGAUCAGCGUCAUCAGCGCCGCCGGGAGCGCCGGGAGCGCCGGGAACAGCGGGAACACCGGGAACAGCGGGAACACCGGGAACACCGCCCUGCCCGGGGCCGGCAGCACCGCCAGCGCGGGCGUGGGCACGGCCGGGGCAGCGCGAACGGGCGCGGCUGGAACCGGCACGGCUGGAGCGGCUGGAACCGGCACAGCAGGAACGGGCACAGCUGGCACAGCAGGGGGUGGCACAGCUGGAGCAGCUGGCGGUCCUGACACAGCGGCAGCAGCCGGCACACCUGGAACAGCUGGAACAACCGGCAAACCUGACACCGCUGGCAAACCUGGCACAGCCGGCACAGCUGGAACAACCGACAAACCUCGCACAGCUGGAACACCUGUCACAGCUGGAACAUCUGUCACGGCCAGCAUAGUUGGCAAACCUGGUACAGCUGACACACCUGGAACAGCUGGCACAGCUGGAACAGCUGGCACAGCCAGCAAACCCGGCACAGCUGGCACAGCCAGCAAACCUGGCACAGCUGGUACCCUGGCACAGCUGGCACACCUGGCACAGCCGGAACACCUGGCACAGCUGGCACACCUGGCACAGCCGGAACACCUGGCACAGCUGGCACACCUGGCACAGCUGGCACAGCCGGCACACCUGGCACAGCUGGAACACCUGGCACAGCUGGCACACCUGGCACAGCCGGCACAGCCAACAAGGCUGGCACAGCUGGCACAGCCAACAGGGCUGGCACAGCUGGAACACCUGGCACAGCCGGCGGGACAGGGCUCGGCGCCCCCGGCAGCAGCAGGGACAGCAAAACGGUGACACCGGGAAUUGGCACCUCUGGGACAGGGGCACCGGGCACCGCCAGCACCAGCGGCACACCUGGGACACCUGGGACACCUGGAACCCCGGGCCCUGCGACGCCUGGCACAGCCGGCC
rnacentral:lncRNA from 12 species